rnacentral:rRNA from 1 species
UACGAAGGGGACUAGCGUUGUUCGGAAUUACUGGGCGUAAAGCGCGCGUAGGCGGAUCGCUAAGUCAGGGGUGAAAUCCCAGGGCUCAACCCUGGAAUUGCCUUCGAUACUGAGAGUCUUGAGUUCGGAAGAGGUUGGUGGAACUGCGAGUGUAGAGGUGAAAUUCGUAGAUAUUCGCAAGAACACCAGUGGCGAAGGCGGCCAACUGGUCCGAUACUGACGCGUGAGG